UACGAAGGGGGCUAGCGUUGUUCGGAAUUACUGGGCGUAAAGCGCACGUAGGCGGAUUGUUAGGUUAGGGGCGAAAUCCCAGGGCUCAACCCUGGAACUGCCUUUAAUACUGGCAAUCUCGAGUCCGAGAGAGGUGAGUGGAAUUCCGAGUGUAGAGGUGAAAUUCGUAGAUAUUCGGAGGAACACCAGUGGCGAAGGCGGCUCACUGGCUCGGUACUGACGCUGAGGUGCGAAAGCGUGGGGAGCAAACAGG
rnacentral:rRNA from 1 species